UACGGAGGGUGCGAGCGUUGUCCGGAAUCACUGGGCGUAAAGGGCGCGUAGGCGGCCUGCUAAGUCGAACGUGAAAUCCCCGGGCUCAACCCGGGAACUGCGUCCGAUACUGGCAGGCUUGAAUCCGGGAGAGGGAUGCGGAAUUCCAGGUGUAGCGGUGAAAUGCGUAGAUAUCUGGAGGAACACCGGUGGCGAAGGCGGCAUCCUGGACCGGCAUUGACGCUGAGGCGCGAAAGCCAGGGGAGCAAACGGG
rnacentral:rRNA from 1 species